AGCUUUGCGCAGUGGCAGUAUUGUAGCCAAUGAGGUUUGUCCGAGGCGCGAUUAUUGCUAAUUGAUUAUUGCUAAUUGAAAUAUGAAGUGAGUCCCUUCAGUGUAACUGUGCUAUCAGCCAGAACACU
rnacentral:snRNA from 1 species